CAGCAGCGACUCACACUGCAGCUGAAUCCAACUCAGAAGCCGACACUUGUGUUUGAGGCCAAUCUGCUAGAAGCUGCUGCCUCAGCAUCAGGAGCUCAGGAGCGAGAGCACAGUGAAAAUAACACAACACGUCUGCAGCAGGUUGUUGUGUCGGAUCCAAUGAUCGAGUGACGUGAGGCACAAUGGAGACCGGAGCCAUUAUCGAGGUCAGGCUGCGACCUCCAGUGACCCAGAUACAUGGGAACCAGGGAGACCAUGAAUGAACUGACAGCACUGGAUGAUAAAGAGAAGUUAGUUACCGGGCGGCAGACAGAGGAGCGCCGCUGCCAGGACGCAGCAGUCCACCCCCCUCCUCUCCCACCAGCUGCUCUCCUUCACCAUCUUCUGCACCAUCCUGGACAGCUCCAUCAUCGGAGUGUCUUCUCCACCUGCACUCUUCCUCCCCUCCUCUCCCUCCUUCAUCCCCUCGCUGCUCCCCGGACCGGCUCUCCUCUUCAUCAUCCUCUCGUCCCCUCCUUCCCUCCACUCCUCCGGUACCUCCUGCAUGUCAGCUCCUUCUGCUCCGUCCUCUCUCCGUCACCAGCAGGUCUGUGUCAUGUGCUCCACCCUGAGUGGAAAGUCCACCGGUCGAAGUUGGGAUUGCGAAAGUGCUUAUUGGCUCGGAGCAUUGUCAGGGAGGCCCAGCCCCCUUCCAGUGGCUUCAAGGGCCCUCGUGGAUCCUCCUUCCUCCUUCCUCCUCCUCCUCCUCAUCCCUCUCUGGUCAGCUGACUCCUCCUGCAGUCCAGCAGCAGAGGAAUGUGUCGCCCCACAGCCUGAAGAUGUGGAGCCGCCCUGGGAAGUGAUGGAUCCUGAAAACCUCACACAGAACAGCAGCUGCUCAGAGACUCCUCCCUCUCUCUCCUCUCUGGUGCCUCAUACAUUCUGCAUGUCGUUCACCCCCGUUGUGUUUCUUUGUGUCAGCAGACCCCCUCCUCCUCCUCCUCCUCCACCCAUCACUGUGACCUUGGCAAACAUCCUGGGAAAGGCGGAGAGGCAGAAAGGAGGCCUGAGCAGAACAGAGGCUUAACAGAGGCCGUUCCCUUGUUUCUCUACUGGGUGAAGGUUCAGAGUGAGAGGAGAAGAUGCUGCGGUGCAGGAAUGUGCUCGGACUCGUCUCCGGUGUCGGUGCACGAUUCCUUUUCCUGGAGAGAGGCCACGUGCUCCGGGCGAGAGGCCAUGACGGCAGAGGGAGGAUUUCUUCACUGUGAAGAGCAGCUGACGAGCUGACGGCUCCGUUUACAUCCUCACACUGUUUAUCAACAUUUUGACUUUAUUAAUAUUAUGUCAGCUACACAGAGCAGAUAUUAAAGACAAGGAAGAAGUUUCAAAAAUGUAAUACGAGAAUAAAAUAUAUUCUACAAAUAUUUCAGACCUAAUUCUAACAAAAAAAAACUCAUGUCAAAGAUAAAUGAGGUUUGAUAUUUUACAGUUUAACCAUAAACGUGUUAAUAAAUAACUAUAAAUAAAAUUAAAACAAAAACAAUACCAAAUAUAUAAAACCUGAAUUAAGAAAAAAAAAAUAUUUUUAAUGUAAUGCAAAAUUGUAAGUGUUUGGGCUCUAGGAAAUACUUGAGUAGUAAAUAAAGUAUUAAGUUAAUUUUCAACACUGACCAUUAAUAAACUAGAGAAGAUAUAAAGAUACACAACUUACAUAAACAUGUGCUUUAAAUAGUUGUUGGUUUGAAUCACACACAACAAUAAUAAUUUUCACUUCAUUUUAUUAAGAGAUCAUCUUGUUUGUCUUCAGAGGGUAAAAACCUUCAUUCAUGCACAGACUCACACUUUCAGGUGAAGAGAUAACAAUGUGUUGUCUAGUACACACUCAUACAACCUCACAGUAAUCAGCAGAGUCAGCUUUUAUCUGACACACGUAAAAUAACAUGUUUAAUGUAGGAAAACUGUACAAAAAAUACAUAAUAAACAUUAUUUUAAAGUACAUCCAGUAAAUACAGACACUCAGGUGUAACAGUCAGGUUUCACUGGAGGAGACCAGUGUCCAGCUCAGAGAAAUGAUAACAGUCUUAUCCUUUAUUAUAAAAAGACAAAUGAAGUAUGAACUAAAGUGUCAUGCUACUAAAAUGGCUUGUAGGCCUCCUGUUGUAUCGUGAAGCGCCACAAGAUGGAGCCAUUCCUCCUGCAAUGUGGUGUCAUGCAAACUCUACAGUGUGAAUAAAGAUGGUCGACAUGACGGCUUCUUCCAGAAUCAGUGCUGUGUGACCAGUGGAGAUUCACUGUUAAAUAAAAUGCGUCCAGCAGCUUCUUCCUGGGGCCCAGGGGCAGGUGGAUGCUGGCGAGGUCCCGGUCGGAGCAGAGCAGCAGAGCACGCAGGUCGAUCUUCUCCCUCCUGAAGAUCGGCAUGAACUCACCGAGGUUCUGUG